rnacentral:rRNA from 1 species
AUUGAACGCUGGCGGCAUGCCUUACACAUGCAAGUCGAACGGCAGCACGGGAGCAAUCCUGGUGGCGAGUGGCGAACGGGUGAGUAAAGCAUCGGAACGUGCCCAGUCGUGGGGGAUAACGUAGCGAAAGCUACGCUAAUACCGCAUACGAUCUGUGGAUGAAAGCGGGGGACCGUAAGGCCUCGCGCGAUUGGAGCGGCCGAUGUCAGAUUAGGUAGUUGGUGAGGUAAAGGCUCACCAAGCCGACGAUCUGUAGCUGGUCUGAGAGGACGACCAGCCACACUGGGACUGAGACACGGCCCAGACUCCUACGGGAGGCAGCAGCGGGGAAUUUUGGACAAUGGGCGCAAGCCUGAUCCAGCAAUGCCGCGUGCAGGAUGAAGGCCUUCGGGUUGUAAACUGCUUUUGUACGGAGCGAAACGGCUUCCACUAAUACUGGGGGCUAAUGACGGUACCGCAAGAAUAAGCCCCGGCUAACUUCGUGCCAGCCGCCGCCGUAAUAC